rnacentral:rRNA from 1 species
AUGGCUACCACCGGUGCUAGCAGCAGCAGCAAGUCGUCUGCAGCUUGUCGCGAGUGUCACCAAGUGAGCCAUGGAAAACCUGAUUGCCCGAGUCUGCCCUGUUACAACUGUGGGGGAGCUUUUCACACCAGAGGCAAAUGCGUUAGCACCAAACGUGUUCCUCACACUGGACCGAGAUGUCCAAGAUGCGGUGGUUUUCAACACUCAGAAUCUAACUGCCCCGUGACCGAAGCCGAUUCUCGCCCCCCUGUGUGCCCACGGUGUGCUACAGAACAUCGCCAGAGAGACUGCCCUCACCCUGACCGUCCAAUCAUAUAUUCGGGGUGGACAGGCUAUGGGAAAUGCACACUGUGUGGUGAUUCGAAUCACGUUUAUCGUGAUUGUCCCAGUAAGUACUGGUAG